UACGAAGGGGGCUAGCGUUGUUCGGAUUUACUGGGCGUAAAGCGCACGUAGGCGGAUCGUUAAGUCGGGGGUGAAAUCCUGGAGCUCAACUCCAGAACUGCCUUUGAUACUGAGGAUCUUGAGUUCGGGAGAGGUGAGUGGAACUGCGAGUGUAGAGGUGAAAUUCGUAGAUAUUCGCAAGAACACCAGUGGCGAAGGCGGCUCACUGGCCCGGAACUGACGCUGAGACGCGAAAGCGUGGGGAGCAAACGGG
rnacentral:rRNA from 1 species